GCCGGUCAUUCGGCUCCCAUCGACACCGACCGAUUGUGACUCAUGAAGAAAUUUGAAGCAAACAGUUCUUCAACGGCGCUGCUAGUGGCCAAUCCUGCUGGGCAGUGCGCUCUCCAAGCGAGUCGAGGUUCUACGACGCUGCGGUUCCUCCGACGGGGGACCGCAGCGCGUACGUCGACCCAUCCUGCACACCUGGUCAAGAAAUCAGCCCCUGUUCCGGUCCGGGUCACCCCAUCCGCCUGGGACUUGGCACACUCUACGGCCUGAUUCAGGAACCAUCCCCGGAUUGAAGCGGCGACGCCGUAGGGUUGAAACGCACCACCUGAGGGGGUGAUAAUCGAACAGGUGCGACGCGGAGGCUCUCCCCACCCAACGUCUCGACAACAACUCGGUCAGCGCCUAACGUCGAUGUCGAAAAUCACGAGCGGACGGAAUCAAAGAUAUCAUUUGGGAGAGUCGAGCAAAAAUUACUAGUCAUUAUGUUAUUAUUGAUUUUAUAGAAUUAAGACUGUAUAUUCCACUUAAAUUAGCUUUAUAUAGUAAUUACUGCAGUUAUUUCAUUAUUUCCAAGUGCCAAUCAGCUUAUAUUUUAAGAGUGUAUGUAGACGGUAAAUAAAAAUAAAGUUUUCGGACUUUUA